AUCCGGCCGUGUCAAUACUGCCCCCUAGCCCUAACAGGUUAACUAAUUAUGUGACUUCUGAAGGUAAUUGGUUGCACCAUAUCUUAUUUAGGGGCUUCAUAGCAAAGGGGGUAAAAAUAUAUGCACGCAUCACUUUUCCAUUAUUUAUUUCUUAGUUACAUUUUUUGAAACAAGUUAUUUUUUCAUUUCACUUCACAUAUUUGGAUUAUUUUGUUUAUGUCCAUUACAUGAAAUCAAAUAAAAAUACAUUUCAAAUGCAGGUUCUAAUGCAACAAAAUUGGAAAAACGCCAAGGGGGUGAAUACUUUUGCAAGGCACUGUAUUAGGGCAGUAUGCAAAUUGGUGUGGGUCCAGGGUUUCUGGGAUAAUGUUGUUGAUGUGAGCCAUGACCAGCCUUUCAAAGCACUUCAUGGCUACAGACAUGAGUGCUACGGGUCGGAAGUCAUUAAGAAGGUUACCUUAGUGUUCUUGGGCACAGGGACUGUUGUUGUCUGCUUAAAACAUGUUGGUAUUACAGACUCAGACAGGGAGAGGUUGAAAAUGUCAGUGAAAACACUUGCCAGUUGGUCAACGCACGUCCUGGUAAUCCGUGAAUGUUGACCUGUUUAAAGGUCUUACUCACAUUGGGUGCGGAGACCGUGAACACACUCUUCCGGAAGAGCUGGGGCUCUCAGCUGUUCCAGUAAAUACAGUAAAUUAGCUUCAACUGGUGGGGGUAUUUCUACACACCCCGUUUAACCAUACUCUAGGUUUAUCUGUAUUUCUACACACCCCAUUUAGCCAUACCCUAAGUUUAGCUGUAUUUCUACACACCCCAUUUAGCCAUACCCUAGGUUUAUCUGUAUUUCUACACAGCCCAUUUAGCCAUACCCUAGGUUUAUCUGUAUUUCUACACACCCCAUUUAGCCAUACCCUAGGUUUAGCUGUAUUUCUACACACCCCAUUUAGCCAUACCCUAGGUUUAGCUGUAUUUAUACACACCCCAUUUAGCCAUACCCUAGGUUUAUCUGUAUUUAUACACACCCCAUUUAGCCAUAUCCUAGGUUAAUCUGUAUUUCUACACACCCCAUUUAGCCAUACCCUAGGUUUAUCUGUAUUUCUACACACCCCAUUUAGCCAUACCCUAGGUUUAGCUGUAUUUCUACACACCCCAUUUAGCCAUACCCUAGGUUUAUCUGUAUUUCUACACACCCCAUUUAUCCAUACCCUAGGUUUAGCUGUAUUUAUACACACCCCAUUUAGCCAUACCCUAGGUUUAGCUGUAUUUAUACACACCCCAUUUAGCCAUACCCUAGCUUUAGCUGUAUUUAUACACACCCCAUUUAGCCAUUCCCUAGCUUUAGCUGUAUUUAUACAUACCCCAUUUAGCCAUACCCUAGGUUUAGCUGUAUUUCUACACACCCCAUUUAGCCAUUGUAACGGCCGUCGUUCAAAUGAGACCAAGGUGCAGCGGAGGAUGUGUUCAUCAUGAAAGGAUUUAAUGAUCAACGAACACUAUACAAAAGAAACCAAAAAAACGACUAGCAACAGUUCUGUCAGGAACACACUAAACAGAAAACAAUCACCCACAAAAACCCAAAGGAAAACAGGCUACUUAUGUGUGACUCCCAAUCAGCAACAACGAACUACAGCUGUGCCUGAUUGGGAGCCACGCACGGCCCAAAACAAAGAAAUACAAAAACAUAGAAAAAUGAACAUAGAACGCCCACCCAAUGUAACACCCUGGCCUAACCAAAAUAAAGAACAAAAACCCCUCUCUAUGGCCAGGGCGUUACAGCCAUACCCUAGGUUUAGCUGUAUUUCUACACACCCCAUUUAGCCAUACCCAGGAUUAGCUGUAUUUCUACACACCCCAUUCAGCCAUACCCAGGAUUAGCUGUAUUUCCACACCCCCAAAACCUCUUCCUGUGGCUAUGGGACAGAGGAGGAGAGAGAGGGAGAUGUCAACAGAGAUAGGUCUGACAGACUAACAUGCAGUCAACUGAAUAUAUUUUCAUUAUUGACUUCUCACCAGUGAUGUCAUCAUAACCAGUAACCUUUUCCACUCUUCCACUCUUGGUCCGGCUCAGCUUGACACUGACCGAUGAAAUGUAUGAUUUAAAAAACAGACGAAGCAGAUGUAUUAAAUGAUAUAUAUACUCAUCUGCAAAUAGAGGUUCACAUGGAAGGGGAAUGUGUGUACACAUGGGUGUUGUUGCACCAUACCAACGAUAAGCCUGUCUUCCCCAUCACAUCAUGAAAGGUCAUGUUGAUGUUCAUUUCACCUCUGCCUCUGUCUUCCUCUUACUCCUCCCUUUCUCCUUUGUUUCUCUCUGUCUCUCUGUCUCUUUCUCUCUUUUUCUCCUCUGCCUUUCUCUUUCUCCUCAGAUCUCCAGGCUCAAAGUGACAGUCUACCAGGUAGGUAGAGUAUAAAUC
rnacentral:lncRNA from 1 species